rnacentral:rRNA from 1 species
GACGAACGCUGGCGGCGUGCUUAACACAUGCAAGUCGAACGGAAAGGCCUGCUUUCCCUUGUGGAUUGCGGGUACUCGAGUGGCGAACGGGUGAGUAACACGUGAUUGAUCUGCCCCCAACUUGGGUAUAAGCCUGGGAAACUGGGUCUAAUUCCCGAUAGGACUGCAGGGUGGUGCCUGUGGUGGAAAACGAUUUUCUAGUGGUUGGGGAUGAGCUCGCGGCCUAUCAGCUUGUUGGUGGGGUAAUGGCCUACCAAGGCGGCGACGGGUAGCCGGCCUGAGAGGGUGGACGGGGACAUUAGGACUGAGAUACGGCCCAGACGCCUACGGGAGGCAGGAGUGGGGAAUAAUGCACAAUGGGCGGAAGCCUGAUGCAGCGACGCGGCGUGAGGGAUGACGGCCUGCAGGUUGUAAACUCCUUUCGAGAGCGAGGAAGCCACCUGGUUGGAAGGGUGGUGACGGUAGUGGUAGAAGAAGCACCGGCUAACUACGU